rnacentral:piRNA from 1 species
UGUCAGGAUUGACUAUGUCAAGGUUGUGA